rnacentral:rRNA from 1 species
GACCAAGGAGUCUAACACGUGCGCGAGUCGCAGGGUUGUACGAAACCCGAAGGCGCAACGAAAGUGAACCGAAUCUCACGACUCGGUAGGUGGGAUCCCGUCGUUUCGCUUCGCGGCGAAGCGCGGGCGCACCACCGGCCUGUCUCGGCCGCGACGUCGGCGAGGCGGAGCAAGAGCGUACGCGUUGGGACCCGAAAGAUGGUGAACUAUGCCUGAGGAGGAUGAAGCCAGAAGAAAUUCUGGUGGAGGUCCGCAGCGAUUCUGACGUGCAAAUCGAUCGUCAAACUUGGGUAUAGGGGCGAAAGACUAAUCGAACCAUCUAGUAGCUGGUUCCCGUCGAAGUUUCCCUCAGGAUAGCUGGCGCUCAUUUGGAGCAGUUUUAUCCGGUAAAGCGAAUGAUUAGAGGCCUUGGGGACGUACAGACCUCAACCUAUUCUCAAACUUUAAAUGGGUAAGACGUCCGUCUCACUUGAUUGGAGUCGGACACGUUCGAAUGCGAGUGCCAAGUGGGCCAUUUUU